AAGGAAGAAUUGGUUUAUUAUGAAAGAACCAUGCUGGGGAAAAAAAAAAGAGAGAUUCACCCAAUCUUUGGUCUUUGUAUGCUCACUGGAGAAUGACAGUUUGUUCUUUAUUUAGUAUUUAGCAGAACAGGGUUAUAGAUCGGGGGUCCCUGAUCUGCAGCCUGUUAGGAAGUGGGCUGCAGCUGGUGAGUGAGCAAAGCUUCAUUUGUAUUUACAACCACUCUCCAUUGCUUGCAUUACUGCCUAAGCACAGCCUCCUGUCAGAUCAGCGGUGACAUUAGAUUCUCAUAAGGGUAUGAACCCAGUUGUGAACUGCACAUGUGAGGAAUGUGCACAAAGUCUCAGAAGGAGCUAGGCUGUGAGUUUCUUAUGAGAAUCUAAUACCUGGUGAUCUGUCACUGUCUCCCAUCACCCACAGAUGGGACCAACUAGUUGCAGGAAAGCCAGCUCACGGCUCCCACUGAUUCUACAUUAUGAUGUGAACUGAAAAUACCACAAGGGCCAAUUUCUGUGCAAAGUUGAAAAUGGAUCAAGCUACCCCUUCUCCUUCACUCUCCCCACACACCAUUUUGCCAUCUUUCAAAUGCAGCAGAGAGCACAUCCAUCAAUUCGAGAACUGCUGGGCAUCCCAGGAGCACGCUGCAGGUGGCCUCUGACCCUUUUAGAGCAACCGGAUUCCAUUUAGCAAAUGACCUCCUUCUGGAAAUAAAGAAAAAAUAAUAUCCCA
rnacentral:lncRNA from 13 species